GGCCUCUGAUUGGCCGAAGCUGGCAGAGCCGGGCCGCUCGCGCUCCUGGGUCCAUGCAACCUGCUCCCUGUGGCUGCCGAGUUCUCGGGAACAGCGGCUCGGCCUGCAAGGCUGUUGUUUCAAGAAAUGAAAAUGAAGGGCGCCCUGGAAUAGGUUCGCCUAAGAGAGAGCUUGCAGGCCUCUGGGAAGCAAGCCAUCGUGUGGCAGAGGCCCAGGUGGCAAGGAACCAAGGGCGGCUUCUGGCCAACAGCCAGCGAGGACCUGAGGCCGUAGCCCAACACCCCUCCAGGAACUGAAUUUUGCCAACAACCAGCGAGUGACCUUGGAAGUGGAUCCUUCCCCCGAAAGCCCGGCUUUCAGCUCAGAGAAGGGAAAAAUAUCUCUUCCUAAAGACACAGAGAAACAUAAACAAACCUGACCAAUAGGAGGACCAAAACCUCUGCACAGUGCCUCAGCCCUCGGAGGAGUUAACAAAAAUACGGAGGCUGGUGGGACCUCAACCCCAGCCAGUAUCCACGCUCUUGGCACCAUCUGGAGAAGGAAUUCAAGAGUGUGUCAGAAAAUGAUGAAAGUACAAAGAUUUAUUGCAAAGCGAAGAAUACACACUCAAGAAAGGGGAGUAUGGGUGGACUCAAGACAGAGUCCGAUGGGACUUGGGGUUUCUACCUUUUGGGUUUCUUUCUUUUUUUUUUUUUUUU
rnacentral:sRNA from 1 species